rnacentral:rRNA from 1 species
UACGGAGGGGGCUAGCGUUGUUCGGAAUUACUGGGCGUAAAGCGCACGUAGGCGGCUUUGUAAGUUAGAGGUGAAAGCCCGGGGCUCAACUCCGGAAUUGCCUUUAAGACUGCAUCGCUAGAAUUGUGGAGAGGUAAGUGGAAUUCCGAGUGUAGAGGUGAAAUUUGUAGAUAUUCGGAAGAACACCAGUGGCGAAGGCGACUUACUGGACACAUAUUGACGCUGAGGUGCGAAAGCGUGGGGAGCAUACAGG